GACGAACCGUGCAAACGUUAUUCGGAAUCACUGGGCUUAAAGCGCGUGUAGGCGGGUCGGCGCGUCGGACGCUGAAAUCCCCCGGCUCAACCGGGGAAGUGGCGCCGAUACGGCCGGCCUGGAGGGACGUAGGGGGGGCUGGAACUUCCGGUGGAGCGGUGAAAUGCGUUGAGAUCGGAAGGAACGCCCGUGGCGAAAGCGAGCCCCUGGACGUCUACUGACGCUGAGACGCGAAAGCCAGGGGAGCGAACGGG
rnacentral:rRNA from 1 species